UGGGAUGUUUUUUUUGCACACAUAUUGCAGGAAAGUUGGUUAUGGACUAAUGGCUUAGUUGCACAAAUAUGUGCUUCUUUUCGCACAAACAGUACACCCAAUCCAUCUUUCUAGUCUGGGUUGUUUGUUGCACAUAUUUUGCAGGAAAGAUGUCAUUGGAUUAAUGCUUAGUGUGCAAAUAUAUUUACUCCUUUAUAGUUUUGGCUGUUGGUUGCACACAUUGUAGAAAAAGUUGGCUUGGAUCCACGAUUUAGUUGCACAAAUAUGGACUUCUAUUUGCACAGACACUACAUCCACUCCAUGUUUCUAGUCUGGGCUGUUUGUUGCACAUUUUUUUUUUGCAAAACUACUCCCUUGUGUCUAUUUGCACACUUCCAGGCAGAAGUUGGUUUUGCUACUGGGUCUACUUGCACAAAGUGGUGUUUAAUUACAGAGACAUUAGAUUACUGUUGCUACUCCCUUCAAUUAGGAGAAGAUUGGUGGUAGAUCCAGAGGCAAAGGGGAAGGGGAAGUGAAGAAGGGAGGAUCUGGAGCCAAAAGGGAACUUACCUUGAUUGAUGCUGCCUAGUACGCCUCUCUCCUCCCUUUACUUCCGCUCGGCCAACUGCUCAUUACGUGAAGUUGGUUCAUGUAGCACUAAAAUUGCAUCACGUUGUAUUAUAAUUGGUUGUGGUAGCACAAACGGUGGUCUAAAAAAUAGUUGCAUCUCAUAGUAUAAAAGUUGCACCAUCUAGUACAACCAGUUGGCAAUGAAAAAAGUUCAUCGAAACAUAUAUAAAUGGGGUCUACUUUUAAAGAUCUCGUCGCGAGGGUUCCGAUGGUGGAAACGGAUUUUAAUUUUGACAUGUAAUUCGAAAGUUAUAGCUUUUUGAAUUUUUUGGAAUGCAAUUAAUUGCCUUUUUACUUUAUUACUGGCAUGGCAGAGCAUAUGAAAAAGAACUUGGGCCAGCGUGAAGGCGAGUGGAUGAUGCUUUUCGAUUUUGGUCUCUGGAAUCAACGGACUUUCCUAAUCAAGAGAUGGGACAAAAAAUUUCCUAAUACAGCCGGCUGCCGAGGAGCGCUAGCGAGCGCACGGCUGCUCGCUAGACGCGUCCUU
rnacentral:lncRNA from 1 species